UUUGCUGCCAUGUGUUCCAGUCUUCUGUGUGCCUGCCUGCUUUACUAAUGACCCCUCACCUGCCUGUUUUGCCACUUUGGAUGCUUCUGCUGACGACCUGCCUGUUGCUACACUCUCCUAUACAAAGGAUGGAUUGAAAUGGAGGAAAGGAUGUCCAGAAAAGCGUCGCUGAUGCUUAUUAAAGUGAUGAUUUGGCUCCGAGGCGCCCCGUCAACACUAUUUAAAAAGGUAGGAUGGCUGCCACGGAGGACUGUUAGUGGAUUGGAAG